AUUGAACGCUGGCGGAAUGCUUUACACAUGCAAGUCGAACGGCAGCACGGGUGCUUGCACCUGGUGGCGAGUGGCGAACGGGUGAGUAAUACAUCGGAACGUACCCAGUUAUGGGGGAUAACUAACCGAAAGGUUAGCUAAUACCGCAUACGCCCUGAGGGGGAAAGCGGGGGACCGUAAGGCCUCGCGUAAUUGGAGCGGCCGAUGUCUGAUUAGCUAGUUGGUGAGGUAAAGGCUCACCAAGGCGACGAUCAGUAGCAGGUCUGAGAGGAAGAUAGGACACACUGGAACUGAGACACGGUACAGAAUCGUACGUGAGGGAGCAGUGGGGAAUUUUGGAGAAGGGGCGAAAGCCUGAUCCAGGCAUUCCGCGUGAGUGAAGAAGGUGUUCGGGUUUUAAAGCUCUUUAGGCAGGGAAGAAACGCUCUGGGAUAAUACACCAAGGUAAUGACGGUACCUGAAGAAGAAGCACCGGCUAACUACGUGCCAGCAGCCGCAGUAA
rnacentral:rRNA from 1 species